AUUGAACGCUGGCGGAAUGCUUUACACAUGCAAGCCGAACGGCAGCACGGACUUCGGUCUGGUGGCGAGUGGCGAACGGGUGAGUAAUAUAUCGGAACGUAUCCAAUAAUGGGGGAUAACUAAUCGAAAGGUUAGCUAAUACCGCAUACGCCCUGAGGGGGAAAGCUAGGGACCGCAAGGCCUGGCGUUAAUGGAGCGGCCGAUAUCUGAUUAGCUAGUUGGUGAGGUAAAGGCUCACCAAGGCUUCGAUCGGUAGCUGGUCUGAGAGGACGACCAGCCACACUGGAACUGAGACACGGUCCGGACUCCUACGGGAGGCAGCAGUGGGGAAUUUUGGACAAUGGGCGAAAGCCUGAUCCAGCCAUUCCGCGUGAGUGAAGAAGGCCUUCGGGUUGUAAAGCUCUUUCGCAAGGGAAGAAAACUUAUCCUCUAACAUAGGAUGAGGUUGACGGUACCUUGAUAAGAAGCACCGGCUAACUACGUGCCAGCAGCCGCGGUAA
rnacentral:rRNA from 1 species